rnacentral:rRNA from 1 species
UAAAUACUCCUGACUGACCGAUAGUGAACCAGUACCGUGAGGGAAAGGCGAAAAGAACCCCUGUGAGGGGAGUGAAAUAGAUCCUGAAACCGCAUGCAUACAAGCAGUGGGAGCACCUUCGUGGUGUGACUGCGUACCUUUUGUAUAAUGGGUCAGCGACUUAUAUUCAGUAGCGAGGUUAACCGUAUAGGGGAGCCGUAGAGAAAUCGAGUCUUAAUAGGGCGUUUAGUUGCUGGGUAUAGACCCGAAACCAGGCGAUCUAUCCAUGAGCAGGUUGAAGGUUGGGUAACACUAACUGGAGGACCGAACCCACUGUCGUUGAAAAGCCAGGGGAUGACUUGUGGAUAGGGGUGAAAGGCUAAUCAAGCCUGGUGAUAGCUGGUUCUCCCCGAAAGCUAUUUAGGUAGCGCCUCGGACGAAUACCAUAGGGGGUAGAGCACUGUUUCGGCUAGGGGGUCAUCCCGACUUACCAAACCGAUGCAAACUCCGAAUACCUAUGAGUACUAUCCGGGAGACAGACUGCGGGUGCUAACGUCCGUAGUCAAGAGGAAAACAAUCCAGACCGCCAGCUAAGGCCCCAAAAUCAUAGUUAAGUGGGAAACGAUGUGGGAAGGCAUAGACAGCUAGGAGGUUGGCUUAGAAGCAGCCACCCUUUAAAGAAAGCGUAAUAGCUCACUAGUCGAGUCGGCCUGCGCGGAAGAUGUAACGGGGCUAAAACUAUGUGCCGAAGCUGCGGAUGUAUACUUUGUAUACGUGGUAGGGGAGCGUUCUGUAAGCCGAUGAAGGUGUGUUGAGAAGCAUGCUGGAGGUAUCAGAAGUGCGAAUGCUGACGUGAGUAACGACAAAACGGGUGAAAAACCCGUUCGCCGAAAGACCAAGGGUUCCAGUCCAACGUUAAUCGGGGCUGGGUGAGUCGACCCCUAAGGCGAGGCCGAAAGGCGUAGUCGAUGGGAAAAUGGUUAAUAUUCCAUUACUUCUGUGUAAUGCGAUGAGAGGACGGAGAAGGCUAAAUCAGCCUGGCGUUGGUUGUCCAGGUGAAAGGAUGUAGGCAUG